rnacentral:rRNA from 1 species
CAAUAGCGUAUAUUAAAGUUGUUGCAGUUAAAAAGCUCGUAGUUGGAUUUCUGGUGGGAGCGAUCGGUCUGGCGCUUAGCGCGAGUACUUGCAUCGUCUCCGGCCAUCCUUGGGGAGAGUCUGUCUGGCAUUAGGUUGUCGGGCAGAGGAUCCUCAUCGUUUACUGUGAAAAAAUUAGAGUGUUCAAAGCAGGCUUAUGCCGUUGAAUAUAUUAGCAUGGAAUAAUAAGAUAGGACUUUGGUACUAUUUUGUUGGUUUGCGCACCAAAGUAAUGAUUAAUAGGGACAGUUGGGGGUAUUCGUAUUCCGUUGUCAGAGGUGAAAUUCUUGGAUUUACGGAAGACGAACUACUGCGAAAGCAUUUACCAAGGAUGUCUNCAUUAA